rnacentral:rRNA from 1 species
AGAGUUUGAUCCUGGCUCAGGAUGAACGCUGGCGGCAUGCCUAAUGCAUGCAAGUCGAACGAGAGACCUUCGGGUCUCUAGUGGCGAACGGGUGAGUAACACGUAGGGAACCUGCCCGCGCACCGGGAAUACGCUCUGGAAACGGAGAACAAAUCCCGAUGUACAGGAAGGAGGCAUCUUCUUUCUGUGAAACAUCCUUUAGGGGAUGGGGCGCGGAUGGACCUGCGGUGCAUUAGUUUGUUGGCGGGGUAAAGGCCCACCAAGACGAUGAUGCAUAGCCGGCCUGAGAGGGCGGACGGCCACAUUGGGACUGAGACACGGCCCAGACUCCUGCGGGAGGCAGCAGUAGGGAAUUUUCGUCAAUGGGCGCAAGCCUGAACGAGCGAUGCCGCGUGAGUGAAGAAGGCCUUCGGGUCGUAAAGCUCUGUUGCGGGGGAAAAAAGGCAGCAUCAGGAAAUGGGUGCUGACUGAUGGUGCCCCGCCAGAAAGUCACGGCUAACUACGUGCCAGCAGCCGCGGUAAUACGUAUGGGGCAAGCGUUAUCCGGAUUUACUGGGUGUAAAGGGAGCGCAGGCGGCCCUGCAAGUCUGAUGUGAAACCCUAAGCUCAACUCCUGGAUUGCUUUGGAAACUGGAGGGCUGGAGUGCCGGAGAGGGUAGCGGAAUUCCUAGUGUAGCGGUGAAAUGCGUAGAUAUUUGGAAGAACACCAGUGGCGAAGGCGGCCGCGUGACCUGUUGCUGACGCUGAGGCGCGAAAGCGUCGGGGAGCAAAUAGGAUUAGAUACCGUACUAGUCCACGCCGUAAACGAUGAGGUCCAAGUGUUGGGGGUGACACGUCACUGCAGCAGUUAACAGCAGUGUAGUCCUCCUCGGGGAGGAGUAUGCACAGCAAGUGUGCUCAUACAAAAGAAUCGGCGGGCGCCCCCACCAGCGGUGCAGUAUGUGUUAUUAUUAGCAGCGAGAAGAACAUCCUCAGCCGUCCUCAUCAGGCGGUCCGGGGGUGCAGCGCUCCCUUCGUGGUCGACGUCCGCGCCGGUUGGUCCAUGGUGUUGUUCACUUGGGUUCUUGAAAGGUUGGUCAAAUUCCCCCACGGGGCCCACCCCCUUCCCACAGUAGCCACCAGGUAAAGAGGGGGACUAUGCCGGGCCUCCGGGGGCCAACCCGGAGGAGGGGGGGGAGGACGUCAAUUCUUCAUCCCCCUUAUGCCUUGGGUUCCCCCCUUGUUCCAAGGGGGCAACAGAGGGCGGCGAAGCAGCGAGGUGGAGCGAACCCCAGAAAAGCCGUCUCAGUUCGGAUUGCAGUCUGCAACUCGCCUCCACGAAGCUGGAAUCGCUAGUAAUCGCGGAUCAGCAUGCCGCGGUGAAUACGUUCCCGGGUCUUGCACUCACCGCCCGUCAA